CUUUCCCUCUUUCUUCAGGCCUAACACAUGCAAGUCGAACGGUAACAGGAAGAAGCUUGCUUCUUUGCUGACGAGUGGCGGCCGGGUGAGUAAUGUCUGGGAAACUGCCUGAUGGAGGGGGAUAACUACUGGAAACGGUAGCUACUACCGCAUAACGUCGCAAGACCAAAGAGGGGGACCUUCGGGCCUCUUGCCAUCGGAUGUGCCCAGAUGGGAUUAGCUAGUAGGUGGGGUAACGGCUCACCUAGUCGACGAUCCCUAGCUGGUCUGAGAGGAUGACCAGCCACACUGGAACUGAGACACGGUCCAGACUCCUACGGGAGGCAGCAGUGGGGAAUAUUGCACAAUGGGCGCAAGCCUGAUUCAGCCAUGCCGCGUGUAUGAAGAAGGCCUUCGGGUUGUAAAGUACUUUCAGCGGGGAGGAAGGUAGUAAAGUUAAUACCUUUACUCAUUGACGUUACCCGCAGAAGAAGCACCGGCUAACUCCGUG
rnacentral:rRNA from 1 species